rnacentral:rRNA from 1 species
AUGUGGAGCGCUUAGAAGUGAGAAUGCCGGUGUGAGUAGCGAAAGACGGGUGAGAAUCCCGUCCACCGAUUGACUAAGGUUUCCAGAGGAAGGCUCGUCCGCUCUGGGUUAGUCGGGUCCUAAGCUGAGGCCGACAGGCGUAGGCGAUGGAUAACAGGUUGAUAUUCCUGUACCACCUAUAAUCGUUUUAAUCGAUGGGGGGACGCAGUAGGAUAGGCGAAGCGUGCGAUUGGAUUGCACGUCUAAGCAGUAAGGCUGAGUAUUAGGCAAAUCCGGUACUCGUUAAGGCUGAGCUGUGAUGGGGAGAAGACAUUGUGUCUUCGAGUCGUUGAUUUCACACUGCCGAGAAAAGCCUCUAGAUAGAAAAUAGGUGCCCGUACCGCAAACCGACACAGGUAGUCAAGAUGAGAAUUCUAAGGUGAGCGAGCGAACUCUCGUUAAGGAACUCGGCAAAAUGACCCCGUAACUUCGGGAGAAGGGGUGCUCUUUAGGGUUAACGCCCAGAAGAGCCGCAGUGAAUAGGCCCAAGCGACUGUUUAUCAAAAACACAGGUCUCUGCUAAACCGUAAGGUGAUGUAUAGGGGCUGACGCCUGCCCGGUGCUGGAAGGUUAAGAGGAGUGGUUAGCUUCUGCGAAGCUACGAAUCGAAGCCCCAGUAAACGGCGGCCGUAACUAUAACGGUCCUAAGGUAGCGAAAUUCCUUGUCGGGUAAGUUCCGACCCGCACGAAAGGCGUAACGAUUUGGGCACUGUCUCAACGAGAGACUCGGUGAAAUCAUAGUACCUGUGAAGAUGCAGGUUACCCGCGACAGGACGGAAAGACCCCGUGGAGCUUUACUGUAGCCUGAUAUUGAAAUUCGGCACAGCUUGUACAGGAUAGGUAGGAGCCUUUGAAACGUGAGCGCUAGCUUACGUGGAGGCGCUGGUGGGAUACUACCCUAGCUGUGUUGGCUUUCUAACCCGCACCACUUAUCGUGGUGGGAGACAGUGUCAGGCGGGCAGUUUGACUGGGGCGGUCGCCUCCUAAAAGGUAACGGAGGCGCUCAAAGGUUCCCUCAGAAUGGUUGGAAAUCAUUCAUAGAGUGUAAAGGCAUAAGGGAGCUUGACUGCGAGACCUACAAGUCGAGCAGGGUCGAAAGACGGACUUAGUGAUCCGGUGGUUCCGCAUGGAAGGGCCAUCGCUCAACGGAUAAAAGCUACCCCGGGGAUAACAGGCUUAUCUCCCCCAAGAGUUCACAUCGACGGGGAGGUUUGGCACCUCGAUGUCGGCUCAUCGCAUCCUGGGGCUGUAGUCGGUCCCAAGGGUUGGGCUGUUCGCCCAUUAAAGCGGUACGCGAGCUGGGUUCAGAACGUCGUGAGACAGUUCGGUCCCUAUCCGUCGUGGGCGUAGGAAAUUUGAGAGGAGCUGUCCUUAGUACGAGAGGACCGGGAUGGACAUACCUCUGGUGUACCAGUUGUCGUGCCAACGGCAUAGCUGGGUAGCUAUGUGUGGACGGGAUAAGUGCUGAAAGCAUCUAAGCAUGAAGCCCCCCUCAAGAUGAGAUUUCCCAACUUCGGUUAUAAGAUCCCUCAAAGAUGAUGAGGUUAAUAGGUUCGAGGUGGAAGCAUGGUGACAUGUGGAGCUGACGAAUACUAA